GACGAACCGUGCGAACGUUGUUCGGAUUCACUGGGCUUAAAGGGCGCGUAGGCGGACUCGCAAGUCUGUGGUGAAAGCCCCCAGCUCAACUGGGGAAGUGCCGUGGAUACUGCAAGUCUGGAGGAGGGUAGGGGCAUCUGGAACGCUGGGUGGAGCGGUGAAAUGCGUUGAUAUCCAGCGGAACUCCGGUGGCGAAGGCGAGGUGCUGGACCCUUUCUGACGCUGAGGCGCGAAAGCUAGGGGAGCAAACGGG
rnacentral:rRNA from 1 species